AUCCAGCUGAAGAGCCCUAAAUAGGACGAAACGCGCGCCCUCGAU
rfam:Schistosoma margrebowiei strain Zambia genome assembly, scaffold: SMRZ_contig0000218